GGCUCAGAUUGAACGCUGGCGGCAGGCCUAACACAUGCAAGUCGAGCGGUAGAGAGAAGCUUGCUUCUCUUGAGAGCGGCGGACGGGUGAGUAAUACCUAGGAAUCUGCCUGAUAGUGGGGGAUAACGUUCGGAAACGGACGCUAAUACCGCAUACGUCCUACGGGAGAAAGCAGGGGACCUUCGGGCCUUGCGCUAUCAGAUGAGCCUAGGUCGGAUUAGCUAGUUGGUGAGGUAAUGGCUCACCAAGGCUACGAUCCGUAACUGGUCUGAGAGGAUGAUCAGUCACACUGGAACUGAGACACGGUCCAGACUCCUACGGGAGGCAGCAGUGGGGAAUAUUGGACAAUGGGCGAAAGCCUGAUCCAGCCAUGCCGCGUGUGUGAAGAAGGUCUUCGGAUUGUAAA
rnacentral:rRNA from 1 species